rnacentral:lncRNA from 1 species
UGCAAUUUAGUACCAAAGGACACAACCUUCAAUUUCCAACAUGAAGAUUAAACAAACUCUCUUCUUCUCACUCCUACUACUUGUCCCCAUUUUCUCAAUCACCACUUUAGCUCAGUCCCCAGCUGCAGCCCCUAAAGCCCCAGAAAAACCUGCUCCAGCAAAACCUGCCCCAGCUGCACCGGCUCCUGCACCCGCAAAGCCAUUAGUCCCGGCAUUACCCCAGUCACCCUCUUCAGGUGAUACUUCUGGCAGCCAAGACAUCGUGAAGAUCCUGAGGAAGGCCAAGUCAUUCAACACACUAAUCCGGUUGCUGAAAACCACCCAAAUCAUCAACCAAGUGAAUGCACACCUUGUGACCUCAAAGAAUGGAGGCUUAACCAUCCUUGCACCCGAUGAUGGUGCCUUUUCAGAACUGAAAGCAGGGUACUUCAACUCCAUUGGAGACAGACAACAAAAAGCAUUGAUACAAUAUCAUGUCCUCCCCGUUUAUGUCUCCAGCUCAAACUUUGACGCUCUGAGCAACCCUGUGCUGACACUGGCCAGUGACAGCCCCACGGGGUAUCAACUAAACGUGACAGCAUAUGGUAACAGUGUGAACAUUUCAACUGGGGUGGUGAAUGCCACACUCACAGGCAUUGUGUACACAGACAAGACACUUGCAAUAUAUCAUGUGGACAAGGUCCUCAUUCCUCUCGACUUCUCUAAGCCCAAGAGUAUAGCUCCAGCUCCAGCUGUGGCCAAGGCACCUAAAGCUGAAAAGGACAACUCUUCAACAGAAGAUGAUGACCAGGCUCAGGCAGCCAAGGACAGCUCUGGUGCCAUCAUUCAUGGGACAACCUUGGUGUCCUUUGGAGUUGCUCUACUUGCAGCAGUAGCUACAAUGUCGUGUUAAAGAACAUUCAUUUCAAUGUUUCUCCAAUGUUUGUUGUAAAAGCCAAAAGGAAUAUUUGCAUUUUCAUGAGUGAUUAGUUGUUUUGCAUUUGCUUGAGAAAUCGUUGGCAAUUGAAAUUUCCAAAUAAAUUAUUAAAUUUCAUUUAUUUUGUUUAUAAAUUUAGUUAAAUUUGUGUUUUGUUUGUAAAUUUAGUUAAAUUUGUGUUCGCAAAAGCAAUCUAUAUAAUUGUGCGCUAAUAUUAUUGUCUGAUUUGAGUCAUGAUUUACUUUUCUUAUGGUACAACUAAAAUAAUGAUUUAUGCUUAAAGAAAGAAGAAAUAGGUUUAUAAAAUAUAUAAUUUUAUAAUAGGGAAUAAAAAUAAAAAAGAAAUUAAAAAUGUAAAAUAAGAGUCUUUGAAGAAGAGUUGUAUAUAUCAUUAUUAUUUUAUUCUUAUGUUAAAGGAGGGAAAUCAGAAUGAUUAUAAUGGGAGUCGGAUAACGAAAUUAUAUUUUAUUUAACAAAUAUAUAUGCAUUAAAAUUCAUAUAAAAUAUUUCUAAUUGUAAUUUUUAAAUUACUUUUGAUUAGUUUAUAGAAAAUAUAUUUACAUACAAGACAAACUAAUAAUUUCUUUUUAGUUUCAACAAAAAGAAAGUAUGAUUUUAAAAAUAUCAGAAAUCCAAUCAUAUAAACUUUCAGGGAAUUAUAAGAAACAUAAAAUUGGUAUUUGUGUUAACCAUAUUUUUUUUACCAAUAUUUCUUUUUGUACGGAGGUCCAGAAAGCAAAAGCCCAAACCUAGUUUUUCUUAAAUAUGAGGCCCAAAGGUUAUACACGUAAGGAUAUGUUAAUCCUAAGUUUUCAAUAAAUUUUUAUAGGAGAGUAAACAAAAUGUGAAACAAACUUGUUAUGAAUAAAUUAAAUAAUUUUUAUUUAUUUUAUUUUCUCUUAAAUGUUUAUUUUAUAAACAAGUUGGUGGUGAUGGAGGAAAUUGAAAAGGGUAAAACAAUUGAUGAAAUAUAGCUGCCAUAGAAACACUAGGGUACAUCCAUCUAUGCACAAAAGGUAUUUUAUCUCAAAACUUAGUAUCAAAUAUUAUUGUUUCAUCAUAUGCUUUAUUUCUCAGUAAAUGCAAAUGCAAAUAUACAUGCCUCAUUCUCUUUCUUAAUAACACUAGGCGCUCCAUUACAUAUGCACUUUUUAUUUUUAUUAUUAUUAUAUUAUUAUAUGUAUAUUUAUAUUUAUUUAAAUGAAAUAUAGAUUUAUGUGUAUUUGUAUAUAUGAAAAACAUAAAUAUGAUUUUCAAGAGAUUUGAGAAAAAAAUAGAGAAAAUGAGAAAAAACAAAAGAGAAAAAAAAUAGUGAUAAAAUCUAAAAAAUUUAAAUAAAAAAGCAACAAUCGUAAAAAACUGAAAAAAUGGUUCAGAAAUUAAAUUUUUUAAAAAAAACAGUUUUUAUGAUAAUUGUUUUAAUAUGUUUUAGAAAAAAUAAAAUAAAAUAAAAUAAUAUCCAUAAUACAAUAAUAAAAUUAAAUAUUGAUUUAUCAUUUAUUUAUCAUAUUAAUUUUAUUACAUCUUCUUCUAAUUCCUGGUUGAUUUACUUCCCGGAAGUAAUUAACUACUACUUUUCAUAAUUUUUUAAUGAAGGUCUCGAUCUAUAUUUUUUUCCUAGAUAUUUAUCAAUAAAAAUACAUUAAGAGGAUAUUAUAUUGUGGUAUUUUCCAUAUUUCUUUUCGGAAACAUAGAAAAUGUAUUAUUUUUAGAUUACAAAUUUUAUUCUUCCUUUGCUAAUUUAAAGGCCAGGUAUGUCUAAACUUUAAAGAUAUUCAGAAAUGGUAAAAAAAAUCCUAUACUUAUAAUUAACUAAUUUAAUUUUAAAAAUUGAAUCUCAUAACUUCAGCGUCAUAAUAUUGUAUAUAUCUUUUGUUUAAUUUUUAUGGUUGUUGUAUUUGUGACCAGUAAUGUUACAUCUUUUUUGUUAUUCUUCUACAAAACUUCCUAUUAUUCUAUAAAAACAUAUAAAAUGACCAAUAUAAUCAUUUAAUAUUUUAAAAGUAUAAAAAAUAAAAAAAUAGCAAGUGUCUUUUUAACUAUUUUUUUUAUAAUACACAAAUUAUUACGGAUAUUAAUUAUUGAGUAAAUACUCAUAUUGAUAAAAAAAAGAUGGGAAUGAUGGUGAAAAAGUCUGUAAAUAAAAUCAUUCUCAUACAACUAUAUUAAUGACAAAUAUAAGUAUUUAAUAUUUUAAAUACUUAUUCAAAAUUUGUGAAGGAGAAAGAUAGUAAUCUGUGUAAGAUAAGGGAGGAGGAUAAGAUUCUUAUGAUGAUGACAUCAAUUUAGGCAAGAUAGGAAUUCCAUCUGAGAUAAUCACAAUGGUUGUAAAAUUUUGUUAGUGUCUCAUUGUCAAGAUAUCUUGUCCAACCAAAUAAAUACUUCCCAUAUACGGGUAUCUCUAGAUUAAUAAUUGUAUGGAUUUUAUUACAGAGAAGUUACUUGCUUUUAAGUUUACAUAAAUGCACUAUUUUUCUUGCUAUUUUUUCACUUCAAUGAAUUUAAUAAAGGAAAAAGAUUUUUUGACAAUAACUUUUGAUGUGAUGGUUUAGAUAUAAAUAUAUAUAAUAAAUGGUAAAUUUAUAAUUAAAUAAUAUAAAUAAUAUUAAAAUAAUAGUAUCGAGGAUUCUAACGUGGUUGUAUAAAAAUUCUGGAUUCUUAAUAUAUUAUUACCUUUUAGUAAAUUGAAAAAUGAGACUUUGACAACCAUAAGAGUUGUACACGAUUGAUUUAGAUAUAAAUAUAUAUAAUAAAAGAUAAAUUUGUAAUUAAAUGAUAUGAAAAAAUAUUAAAAUAAUAAUAUUAAAAAUUGUAAUGUAAUUGUAUAAAAAAAUAAGAUUAUAAAUAUAUCAUUAUUCUAAUAAAUCAUUUAUGUUCAUGCAUGGGCAAAUUGUUUUUAAGUAUUUAAGAGAACAAUUAGAAAACGGUAUCUCUUUAACAUCUAGUCUCUAGAAUUUCCCUGUGAAUAGCAACAAUUUUUUUUUUAUUUAGUUAAAAGCAAAAGAAAAAUAUACAUUGAGAAUCUUGCUCCAUAUACCACUUUCUUUUUUUACCUAAAAUUUUAAUUUUAUUUUAUUUUGUAUGAAAUAGCAAAAAUAUUUUUUUUAUAUUAUCAAUUAAAAGUUGUACAGUGGAGAAAAAAUUGGUGAAAGCAAAAUAAUCUUCUUUUAUUUAUUCAUGUGUACUCAAAGCUCAGAAACCAGUGUUGAUAGAUUUUUAAGAAGGAAGAAAGUAUAGGUUGAUUAACCUGGCUUCGAUCUGGUUGCUGUCUCGCUGACUGCAACAAUAAUUGACUUGUGUUAUGCUUAAUUGUUCGAUAAGGAGAAGUGGUAUUUGUUCGAUUUUCCAACCUGGUUUUUGGAUGAUUAAUUGAAACCAAUGAUAGAAAAAAGCUUUAACAGUUACUACAGCUUGCUUAAUUGUGAUUGAUUUAAUUUCACAUCUGCUUACCCGAAUGAUAAUAGAGAUGCUUCUUUUUUCUGCACUAGUGUGCAUCUUUUACAGCCACAACCAACUGAGAUCUCACUUCUCUUUCAAUUUUCCCUGCAUUUCAAGCAAAAGCAGCCAAAUCCAUUUCUUAAAUCAACUUUAUCUGCCAUGAUAUUCCACCUUAAUAUUCCUAGCAGAUGGAGAAAUGAUAUCCCCACACAUACAACCAUAAGUUAUUUUACAACUAAACAUUGUACCUAAUUAUCAUUCACUUCUCAUCUAUAUAACCACCCUACCCCGUUCCACAUUCCACAAAAUCAAAGCAUUUAUUGCAAUAGCAACUUCCUAUAUUCAUUUGCAAUUUAGCAGCAAAGCAACCACAGCCUUCAAUUUCCAAAAUGAAGAUAAAACAAACUCUCUUAUUCUCACUCCUUCUAAUUGCCCCCAUUUUCUCAAUCACCACUUUAGCUCAGUCACCAGCUGCAGCCCCUAAAGCGCCAGAAAAACCUGCUCCAGCAAAACCUGCCCCAGCUGCACCGGUUCCUGCACCUGCAAAGCCAUUAGUCCCGGCAUUACCCCAGUCACCCUCUUCAGGUGAUACUUCUGGCAGCCAAGACAUCGUGAAGAUCCUGAGGAAGGCCAAGUCAUUCAACA